rnacentral:rRNA from 1 species
AUGGAGGCCACAGCGGUGAGCAUGGGCAAGGCCGUGCUCGAUGGCGCGCUCGGCUACGCCAAGUCCAAGGCGGCCGAGGAAAUCGCCCUGCAGCUUGGCGUCGAGUCCGAUGUGAAGUUCAUCAGGGAUGAGCUGCAGAUGAUGCAGUCCUUCCUGAUGAUGGCUGAUGAAGACCAAAGCCAGAACAAGGUGCUUAUGACCUGGGCGAAACAGAUCGGGGCACUGGCCUACAAAGUGGAGGACAGCCUCAUGGAUUUCGGCCUUCACUCGGAGAAAAAGCCUUUUUUGGGGUGCGUCCCGCGCAGCCCAGGUGACCGGCGCCGCAUCGCCAAGGAGUUGAAGCAGCUGAGGGUUGAGGUGGAGGAUGUGAGCAACAGGAACCUGCGCUAUCGCCUCAUCAAGGACAGCUCAGGUUCCAAGCCUACCGUGGCAGAGGAGCAGGCCAGCAUCGCCACUGCAGCAAUGUUCGGCAUCAACGAAGCAAGGCUUGCAGCCUUGGAGCACAAAGAAUCAACAGAGGUGAAUCUCAAAGAGCUGAUUACCAGCAAUAUGGUGGAUCCUAGAGUGAUCUUCAUGUGGGGACCUAGCGGUGAUCUCGGGAACACAUCUGCCAUCCAGGAGGUUUAUGAUGACCCAAAGGUAUUGGAAAGGUUUGGAUUCUGUGCUUGGAUUAGGUUGAUGCAUCCUUUCAAUCCACAAGAGUUCCUCAGAAGCUUGGUAAGGCAAUUUUAUGAAAAUUCACAUGAUGACGCUGGAAAGGCGGAACAAGAAACAAGUGUCGGGGCUAAUGUUCUGGCCAUCAUGGAGAAGAUGGAUCAAAGUGAUUUAGUUAAUGUGUUUAAUAAGGAGGUGUGUAGCAAUAGCUACCUGGUUGUCAUAAAUGGCCUAUCCACGAUAGAAGAGUGGCAUUGCAUUAAGAAGUACUUUCCUGACAGCAAGAAAAAAAGUAGGAUAGUCGUUUCCGCGCAGAAAGCUGAAAUUGCAAGAUUGUGCACAGAGAAACCGUACCAGGUUUCGAAGUUGUCAUGUGAUGAAACUAUUUAUAUUUUCCACAAGGUCAGCAUGGGCAGUGUUAGUGUGCCAUUGCUUGACGCCAACAACAAAUCAAGGCGUGCUGUUGUGGAGGAUAAACUGACGGAUAUGCAUGUAUCUUCUUCCGUCAAGCCCACUUCCGACUCAAACAAAGUUACUACUAUUGAGAAAAACACAGGAAUGCUCACCACUGAAAUAGAGGAGGGAUCCCAAGAACCUAAUGCAGGCGAAGAAAAAGUUCAUAACUCGACUAUUAGUAAGAAGCUUGAUCCCUGCAGGACACUGACACUGACUGAUGAAGUGUUCUGUGGGCGAGAAAAAGAAAAAUCUGAUAUUAUCAGAUUAGUUGGCCAACCAGAUGACAGUAAAGGCUCUAAGGUGAUCUCUGUUUGGGGAAUGGGGGGCCUUGGAAAAACCACUCUUGUCCGAAGCAUCUACCGAAGCCAGCAGCUUGGUGGCUGGAAGCGUGCUUGGACCACUGCAUUGCGUCCUUUUAACCCUGAAGUACUCCUUAGGGAUUUGGCUUUGCAGCUUCAGAAGAGUAUUCAAAAAGAUAAUGCUGGAUCAGGAGGAGCUGAAGGACAAAACAAAAGCAUACCAGAGAUGAAUCUUAAAGAGUUGAAGGAUGAGCUAGCUCGGUUACUAAAAACUAAAAGGUGCCUUGUUGUUGUUGAUGAUAUAUUAUCCACUUCUGAAUGGAAUUUGGUCAAACCGUGUUUACAUGAUGCUGGAAUGAUCAUAGUCACCACAAGAGAAAAAAAUAUUGCCAUACAUUGUUCAAAAGAAGACAAGAACAUGUACAAACUUGAAGGUCUGGAUAAUGAUGUUGCACUUGACCUCUUCAAAAAGAAGGUAUUCAGGGACAAUGUUGAAGAAAUUUAUUUAGGCCGAGCUAUGAUGGAGCAAGCAAGACUUACUCUGCAGAAAUGUGGUGGACUACCCCUUGCAAUAUCGACUAUUGGUGGAUUCCUAGCCACUAAGCCAAAAACUGCUACUGAAUGGAGGAAGAUGAAUGAACGUAUUGGCACUGAAUUGGAGAUGAAUCCUGAACUUAAGACAAUAAAGACAAUUCUUAUGAGGAGCUAUGAUUGUUUGCCGUACUAUCUCAAGUCUGCUUUCUUAUACCUGUCUAUAUUUCCAGAAGACCACAAGAUUAGGUGGGGUCGCUUGAUGAGGCGGUGGAUUGCAGAGGGUUACUCAAGGGAUAUACAUGGCAUGACUGCAGUUGAACUUUGUCGGAGGUACUUUGAUGAGCUCUUGAAUAGGAGUAUGAUCCUGCCAGGGGAAGGAACAGACCAAUACAGUCGGAAAAUCAAUUCCUGCCAACUUCAUGAUAUGAUCCGUGAAAUAUGCAUCUCAAAGGCGAGGGAGGAAAACCUUGUUUUGACGCUGGAGGAAGGAUGUUGUUUGAGUGACACACAAGGUGCAAUACGUCAUCUUGUCAUUGGCAGCAACUGGAAAAGGGAUAAAGAUGUGCUGGAGAGCAAACUAGACUUGUCACAUGUACGGUCAUUGACCGUGUUCGGAGAGUGGAGAUCGUUUUUCAUCUCUGACAAUAUGAGGUUCCUCCGAGUGCUUGACUUAGAAGACACACUAGAGUUAAAAGAUAAUCAUCUUGCUGAUAUUGGGCAGCUCCGUCAUCUCAAGUAUCUUUCUCUUCGAGGAUGUCGGAACAUUUUAUACCUGCCUAAUUCUUUGCGAAAUUUGAGGCACCUUGAAAUGCUGGAUGUUAGAGGUACACUUAUAUAUGAGUUGCCAACAACAAUCACCAAUCUUCGGAAGCUACAACACCUUCGGGCAGAUGGUUAUUGGGACCGUAAAGGUGGUGUCAAGAGAGAGGAUGACAUAGUUGAUAAGUUUGAAGAUUACAUUAAUCGUACUUUGCUGUCCAGAGGUCAUGUUUUCUUGAGACCACAAGUUAUAGAUGCCGGUUUGAAUAGGUAUGAUAUAUUCAAUCUAUACCGCUUCCAGGAGAGGAAGCUAGAUGGCGUUAUACUUCCUAGAGGGAUUGGCAAAUUGAAGGCCCUUCACUCACUAGGUGUUGUUGAUGUUUCCGGGAGAAAUGGAAAUGCCACUGUAAAAGAGAUUGGAGAGCUUACUCAGCUACGUAAGCUUAAAGUGGGUGGUCUGAGCUACAGAAACAUCAGUGAGUUAUGGUCUGCCAUUGCUGGUCAUAAUCAACUUCAAUCUUUGUCAGUUGAAAUAGGUGACAACCGUGAAAAGAGGAAUGAGUUAGAUGGCUGUUUGGGUGAGGGUUUGUUGCCACCAAACAGCCUUGAGAGUCUCACUCUGUAUGGGAAGCUAGUCAAUGUAACAGAAUGGAUCAAUAAGCUUCAGAAUCUCACCAAGUUGGUGCUGAAGUGGAGCAGAUUGAAGCAAGAUGAUGCCAUACAAGCCCUCUGGGUGCUACCAAAUCUUGCAGUUCUACGUUUGAGGACGGUUUCGUUCGAUGGGACACAGCUGCAUUUCCAUAGCUCAUCUUUCCCGAGUCUUAUGGUGCUGGAGUUGGAUUGGUUAGACAACCUCGAGUCGGCGCUGUUUGAAAAAGACGCAAUGCCUAAGCUCGAGCUGCUACAAGUUGAUUGGUGCGAAAAGCUGAAAGCAUUCUCAUGGCUGCCAGUCCUCACAAGCCUCAAGGAAAUUCGGUUGGGUAGCUUUGGUCUCAGUGAAACAUUGAAGGCAUCGGUGCAGAGUCAGAUUCCAUCGGAGACCAAAGAUUGGUGCGUGCACUCGCAGAUGAACUGGACGACAAUGGCCACUUUGAAGCAAAUGACGAGGAGGGAGAGGGCAAAGCUUUCCCCCCACCCGCACAACCGAUGCACAAGGUCGAGAUCCUCCUCUGGGCGAUGGAGCAGGCCGAUUCGUCCAGCCCGUGGACCAGGCGUAGGUGGUGGGCGUUCAGAUCCAGGGUAG